rnacentral:lncRNA from 1 species
AAUCGUGCAACAAGUGCUGUGCUAAAAUAUGUUUAACGCUAGUAGUUUGCCUGUGGUCAUGUUUUACGAUAAAGGCUCUGCGCUUUCCAAUCAACAGCAAGGAGUGCGGUCUUUCCGAACCUCUCGGUAGAGUAAUCAACGGGAAGAUUACAUGGAGGGCUCAAGUACCAUGGCUGGUGCACAUCUUCAGUGCGUUAGAAAGGGGAAAAGGAAUCCCAUGCGGUGGAAGCAUCAUAAC